UGAAGGAGGUGUCACUGAGCGCGCUGCGUCUUGGCGUUGUUUGGACGCUUCCAGUUUUACGCGUUUUGCUUUGCGCGAAGACAGGCCGCGGGUUUUCUUGUUUUUGUUUGUUUGUUUUAUGAUCAGUUCAACAAUUCAGAAUCAUGUUUGAUCCUUUAAAAUAACAGUUGGCGUUUUUGUUUUGGUUUUACGUUUUUAUGGCACCAUUUCAGUUGGUGAUGGAGGGCAUGCGCUCAGUGCGCACAAGCUGCCCGGCCCUUUCCAAAGCCGCUCCAGCUGUCCAAGGCCUGAACACUAAGAGCUGUUUUCUCAGCAAAGGAUUUCCACGACCCGUGUCAGGCUCUAGGCUUCUCCACUUGGCCUCCACGUGGGAGAAGUUUGGGGGAGUGGAUCCAAGUGGAUCUUCUGAAGGCGUAUCUCUCACGUGGAGAGCUCUGCCACAGACAGGGCCAUUCUGACACAGCCUCAUCUGAGCUGAGGACCCUGGACGAUCCCUAGCUCCUCUGAUCUCUUCCGUUGUGACUGUGGAUCCAAAGGAUACGAGGAGCCACUGCUCUAAAACAAUUUUUCUGUUCAGGAGGAUGAGGGAGACUGGCUUGUGGAGCAGGUGAACUGUUGAAGGAGAAACACCACAUUUCUGUCGGACCUGAACUAUACUCCCUGCUGAUCUGCACUGCUUUAACCAAGCAGAUCAGCGAAGAAGGCAUCUUUAUUUUUACUUUGACAAGAAUAACGAGACUGAGAUGAUCAGAGAUCUAAGCAGCCUCCCUGGAUGUCGUUAACAGCCGUACUGACUGGAAGCACAGGCAGGGGAAAUUUGAGAGGGAAGUCCUUUACCUGCCGCUCCGAGGCCGGCCUCACGCUGCAGUUGCUUCUCUGAUAACGCCGCGCUCAGCCGCCAGUGAUACUCUACACCUUUGCGUUCACUCUCCUGCUGAAAAAAUGUCCCACAAAGCAACCCUUUUUGGACCGUCGGCGGCGUCUUCAAAGAACUUAAAAGUAAAACGCCUGUUGGGCACUGCUGCAUCUGAGCAAGAGCUAAUCUCUCUGGAGGAGAAAGGGGGCGGAAAGCUGGAGGUCAGGGUCGGGUGGAAAUAGCUGGAGAAGAAGCUGCUAAUCAACACCAACUCCUCAGUAGGAAGCAGCAGACCCCCGCAGAGGAUGAGGAGCAGAUGGCUACUAUAAGACUCGGACGGCAGGCUUGAGCAAAAACUGGAGACCCUGCAGGUUAAUGAAAUGAUGGAGAUUUUCUGGCCUUUGAGAUGGACUGACUGUAAAAGCUUCUAGAGCUUCUUGGUGAGGCUACGUGUGAAUUGUUCCUGAAGCUGAGGGAGGAGAUGGGGGACGGAUUCACCAUGAGACUAAGAGGAAAGGCUUUCUAAGAUGUCAUCUCUGUGAUUCCAACAGAGGCCAAAGCCUUGAAAAAAUAGCCUGACUGUAAGCUUCAGCUAAUAUUCUAAAUAUAACCUCAGUUUACCUUCAGCUAUCUUGAAAAAAUUAACCAAAAUCUUCAUCGUCCCACCCCUCAGCUUCCAACAGAGAACCAGGACAUCCACAGUAGUGUUCCAUAGAAACCAGGAAGAUCCAUUACAAGGAACCACGGCUUCAUUAUGGAGUAAACUGGAAAACUAUGAGAUGACGACCAUGGCGCCAAGUGUGGUGAUUUUUAGAUCAAUUUUCUAACCAAACAGAAUAGUUCACCUCUAAGGUGUGUUCAUCUAAUGCGGUUUAUUCUUAUCAAAGACGGGGCUGAUGAGGAUAAAUUGGUCUACAAAGCGGCUCACGAUGCUACAGAAUGGAAGCGUAUGACCUUUGGAGGAAUCUUUUAAAAUUAGCCAGCAGGCUUAUAGGAACUAAAUUUAGACGAGACUGGAUGUGAUCCUCUGCUGAAAAUGAACUCACACAGGCUUCUCAUGUGAUGUCUCAUAUGGUGCUGUGGACACCGCUGCUAAUAUCCAGCCGGUGCAUCAUGGUUGGCCGAGGGAUGCAAAGCGGAACACCAAACCUUUCAUCACUGCAGACACGCCCAAAUAAAGAUUUUAUGAUUAAAAAUCA